CCAUUCAGAGUUUGUACACACAUGUUUAACAGAAGAUUUUUCCGAGAUCCCCAUUUUAGUGGGUCGUACAUAGAAUAUUCUAUGAAAUAUCAAGUGUAUGGACAUUGUUUAAGAUUAAGUACCACAGCAUUACAUCACAGUGAAGGCGUACUCAAAGUGUCUGUGCCGUAUAACUUAAGUUAGGACAGACUGUCAACUAGGCAGUUUGUUACAGACGUUCUGAAGGUAACGAUAAUAUAGGGUAAACCCCGACAACAACGUUGAGCCUACGGCAGAAACUCCUCGUCGAGCGGAGCAAUAAUACAUCAGAAGGGACUACAAGAACAUCCGCCAAGAAGGAGGAAUAGGAGUAUGACGUCAGGAGGUUCCAUAUUCUAGGAAAACCAGAACCAUACGAUUGAUUGCUUCAGGUUCCAAAGAGAAAAUGACUCUUCAACAAGAAAACUCUGAGUGGAGAGGGAAACGGCAUUUAAACCUCUUCAAUGAGGAACACUCAGGAGUGACUACGCCGAGAGCAUUACACACUAAUACCAACCAAAAAACGACCUAGAGGAGUAGUACUUGAUGUUGUGGCGUCAUUUAACUCAACACCCCAUGACAAGAGAAGCGAGGUGAUAAAACGCCACAUCCAGACGCAAUGGUGACAUCCCAUCUGUUUUCACUCUACGAGUUCGUUCAGCCGCGGCGUACAUCUACAACGAACCCCGCGGAUAGUUAUGAACUCACAGAUAUCCAAACGACACUAACAGCCACAACGACUCAAAGAAAACAAAAAAUUAAAAACAAAACCAAAAACACUAGUCACAAGAAGGAGGAGAAAAAAAAAAAAAAGUGCAACUGAUAGCAUCAAUCCCAUACCCUAACGACAGUCAAGAUCGUUAACCACCUGUGCUAACCUCAGCACAACUCAGUGCUCCGGUCAGCUCCACAACAGAGCCAAAUACAAUAAUGCAUUAUCUCAUGGGCAGGAGAAGACCCAAAUACCAUCCUCUCGACAGAUGAGCGAGAUCCACGAGAACCCGCAGCCAACACAGGAUUUCGGUGAGGCACCUGCUUUCAGCCUUUAUGGAGGACUCCGCGCAACAAUGCGAACAAGCAAACCCUAAUUCCUGCACGAAGGAUGAUACCC
rnacentral:lncRNA from 1 species